GGAUAGUCUAGUUGGUUAGGGUGCUUAACUGCCAGCACCAAAAGGUUCUGGGUUCGAACCCCAGUGUCCA